UACGUAGGGCGCGAGCGUUGUCCGGAAUCAUUGGGCGUAAAGAGCUCGUAGGCGGCCGGUUGCGUCUGCUGUGAAAUCCCGGGGCUUAACCCCGGGCGUGCAGUGGAUACGGGCUGGCUGGAGGCAGGCAGGGGAGAAUGGAAUUCCCGGUGUAGCGGUGAAAUGCGCAGAUAUCGGGAGGAACACCGGUGGCGGAGGCGGGUCUCUGGGCCGAUAUUGACGCUGAGGAGCGAAAGCGUGGGGAGCGAACAGG
rnacentral:rRNA from 1 species